UGCUCCAGGAGGUCCAGGUCGCCUUCGGACGACAAGGCGCGCCCCAUGGAGAUGCCUGGCUGGGCGUCUCCCCCUUCCAUACAGAACUAAUUGCGUCAAGCCGUCCAAUAUACCAUGGGCGGUUAUAUGGCAAGGAUAAACUAAGGAAGGCUCCUUUUCUCACGGAACUAAUUGCGUCAAGCCGUCUUCCUCUUCUUGGCAAUACCAAUAUACCAUGGGCGGUUACACGGUGGGAAUAAACUAAGGAAGGUUUUCUCGCUCACGGAACUAACUGCGUCCAUUUCCAAAAAUAAAGAACUAAUUGUGUAUUGCCUUAUUUUUAAAGUAGUUGCUUAUUGCCUUGGUGUUCUACAUGUGUGUUCAUGUGGUAUUAUCAUAGUAAAUUCUAGAGCUUCAUUCUGUUCUACAGGAUUGUAACAGUUGCUGAUGUGGCCAUUCCAUUAAGGGGAUUUGUUAUGUGAACCAGUCCUUGUUGUUAGAGGCCACAUGCAAGGCCACUAAGAUGUAGGCCACAAGUCUUGCAUCAGUGAUGUCACAGCAUAGAGGGGGAUCAGGGAGGGUGCACUAAUUAGAGAUUCUGGUAUAUAGUUGUGUGGGGUCUAUAAAAUUUGUCAUCACUGUGCAAUGAACGGGAAACCACAGAUUCCCGGGGGCUUAUCUGGAAAGCUAGGCGUUUUAGUAUCUUCCCAGUUCCCACUACCGUUGCGUACACACGCCACAUGAUUCCCUCUGGCAGCAAAUUACAUCACAAAAAGUAGUCUUCCGAAAAAUUCUCUAAAGCCUUCAAAAAACUAAGUACAGGAAAUAUCCAGAGAGGCUAAAAGUGCCUGUGUACCUUCCCGUAAAAAAGUGCUUAAAUAACAGCAGAAAAAAAAUGCCAUGAAAACCUUUUCGAGUCUGUAGGGGGGAAACUUCACAGAUCCUAAAUAGAUAGAUUUAUGAGUUGUGGGCUGUCUGGCACCAAAUUAUUUUACUGUAGAUGCUUUAUGAGCUAAGCAGUUCCUUUUUCUAGAGAUCGCAGAUGCACUUGCAUAGUUAAAUAUGGACUGUGCUUGCUCCCAGGACUGCAUCUUGUAAAGCUACAUAUGUACGGCUAGUCACGUAUCUAUAUGGGAUUGGUUAGUGCUUUAGUUUAAUCUUUCUUCUCUUGUUAGAUCUUUACCUUCCUUGGUUUUCUAUGGUUGUUUGCUUGGGAAUAUUAAAAGAUAGGAAGUUGUUCAGAACAAGGAUCAAUUAGUGAGCCAAAUAAUGGCGGUUUAGGUGGACAUACAUGUGAUCCCCAAUACCAAAGUCCAAUUGGGGGGGUUAAUUAUGCCAGAGCAAUAGAUUUUUCUUCCCAAGGCUGUUCCCUUUUGGGAGGGCUUUAAAGAUUGUCAGAAUGUUAAUUUGCUACAACUUACUAUGUAAGUACUGCUAACUGCAAUUUGCUUGAUUCCUCCCGCGAGAACGUGUUUCUGCGCCCUGAUCAGGGAGGAGGGCAUUAGAAUACUGCCUUGAUUCAUUAUUCCAUGACAUGUCUAGGAAUCUUUGAUGCCUCUUGGCAAUGCAACAAAGGCAACAAGUACAACUGGCGCUAUCUGAAUUUUUUUUUUUGAAACUUUCUCCUCUCUCUUUACAUUUGGAGCGUGCUGUGUGCUGUUUCAAAAGGGGGAAAACUAUGUGAACUGUGAUUAGCUCACUUUGUUGCUAUUUUGAUUUAAUCGUAACCUCAUUUAUAAUUGUGGGGAGCACGGAAGCACACCCAUUUGCAAUAUUUAUUCUCAUGAGCUAAUCUGUUCUCUACUGCCCACAUGUGCUUGUUUAUGCCAGCAUCAGUUUCCUGCUGCAUGGAGAGGUGUACAUUGCUCUUGGUCUUGGAUCAACAUAGAGAGGAGAAGACACUAGUUGGAGGUGACACUAGUUGAUAAAGCACAAUGCACCGCAAAUGCUCAUCUCAGGAAACUCUUGCUCGGAACCGGUUUUCAAUGACAAGACUUUGCUCACCAAUGGCGAUGGCGGGCCACCGAGAAGAUCAAAGCGUGUGUGAUUUCUUCAGAGCCUGUCACUUGUUAAUGUUUAGUGUUUUCUCUUAAGAGUUCUUCGUGAAAAAAAGCUGGUUGGAUCACAUUAUCAAUUGAGAGAUGCACCCAAUAACGGAUACUUGGGAAUCUGACAACUAAGCCUGAAGAUGUGUAUGAACUGCAUCGAACUCUGGGGAUUUGGAUAUUCCAGGUCAAGGGAGGGGAUUCAUACAUGGGUUUAAUUUUAGCUUCGCUCCAUGUACCGCGACAAGUACCCCCAUGGAGCUCGCUGCUGAAAGUUUCUUCCUUGACGACUUUGCCGCGCCUAUGGUAUGCUUGGAAGCUCCUUCGUCUGCGACUUUGCUGCGCCAAUGGUAUGCUCGGAAGCUUAGUUUGAUCUCCUUGAUGGCGUCGAUGUCGUGAAGUCUUAGAAUGGUGUAUGUAAUUUGAAAAUAUCUGAUAUUCUGAUGGCCGUGCUCAAUUCAGGCGGCCGAGGUUCAGUAUGCUAGCGACGUUACAGAAAUGAGAACAAAGUAAAGAGGUAAAAACCUCCAUCCAUAAAUGGCUCUGUUUACGUUGAGUGACAAGGCAUCAUGUAAAACUUCAAUUUCUCCAUAUCAUUGAGAAUAUGUUUGUCUACAAGAACUAGUAGUGAGAAGAUAGAGAGAAUCAGAGAAGAUCAAAAAAUAUAUCAUUGCUACUGUGCAUAAACAUAAGAUCAAAUAUGAUGUGCUGGUUGGGAGGGAGCAUGCCUGUCCCGAUCCGUAUUUAAGCGAUAAACUUGUUAUUAAUAGUCGUGGUGUCGUCAUGGUUAGGG